rnacentral:rRNA from 1 species
UACGUAGGUGGCAAGCGUUGUUCGGAAUUAUUGGGCGUAAAGGGCGCGUAGGCGGUUUGUUAAGUCGGUCGUGAAAGCCCGGGGCUCAACCCCGGAGGGUCGACCGAUACUGGCAGACUAGAGUACAGAAGAGGUAACUGGAAUUCCCGGUGUAGCGGUGAAAUGCGUAGAUGUCGGGAGGAACACCAGAGGCGAAGGCGGGUUACUGGGCUGAUACUGACGCUGAUGCGCGAAAGCCAGGGGAGCAAACGGG